AGAAAAGUAAGCUAAAAUAAGCUAAUGGGUUCAUACCCCAUAAAUAGAGCACGAAUCUCUCUUCUCUG
rnacentral:tRNA from 2 species